CAACCAAGGAUGCCCCGGAGGAUUCUACGGAGGCAUCACCCAUGAUCAGUUGGUCGGAGUCGCUCCUCGCGACUAAGACAGCUCCAUCUCCCCCACAGCUACAACUCACUCACACAUUUCGGUUUCUAUAUACAUUUAAUUAUCCACACCUUUACGACCAAACUUGGCCACCGUCUACAUAUUUACGCGGUCAAAGCAGAAGAUUACCUUCCUUUGGCAAAGGCUACAGGCGCCGCGUAAAUAAUGUUCCACCAGACACGUAUUGGUGGAACUCACAGUGGAACGAGGCGCAAAAAAGGGCACACACUAGGUAUGUGUCGGGUCACCUAAUCCUGAGGAGCUCCUAGGGAAAAGAAGGGACAGGCCAAACGGCAACAACGAGGACA